rnacentral:rRNA from 1 species
GACAGAGGAGCCAAGCGUUGUCCGGACUGACUGGGCGUAAAGCGCACGCAGGCGGUGCGGUUAGUGGGGUGUGAAAGCGGUCGGCUCAACCGACCGAGGCCAUCUCAGACUGCCGCACUCGAGCGCUGCAGAGGGUGGUGGAAUUGCCGGUGUAGUGGUGAAAUGCGUAGAGAUCGGCAGGAACACCGAGGGGGAAGCCAGCCACCUGGGCAGCCGCUGACGCUCAAGUGCGAAAGCGUGGGGAGCGAACUGG